rnacentral:rRNA from 1 species
UGGGGAAUAUUGCACAAUGGGCGAAAGCCUGAUGCAGCAACGCCGCGUGAGUGAUGAAGGCCUUCGGGUUGUAAAGCUCUGUCUUUUGGGACGAUAAUGACGGUACCAAAGGAGGAAGCCACGGCUAACUACGUGCCAGCAGCCGCGGUAAUACGUAGGUGGCAAGCGUUGUCCGGAUUUACUGGGCGUAAAGGAUGCGUAGGCGGAUUUUUAAGUGAGAUGUGAAAUACCCGGGCUUAACUUGGGUGCUGCAUUUCAAACUGGGAAUCUAGAGUGCGGGAGAGGAGAAUGGAAUUCCUAGUGUAGCGGUGAAAUGCGUAGAGAUUAGGAAGAACACCAGUGGCGAAGGCGAUUCUCUGGACCGUAACUGACGCUGAGGCAUGAAAGCGUGGGUAGCAAACAGGAUUAGAUACCCUGGUAGUCCACGCCGUAAAACGAUGAGUACUAGGUGUAGGAGGUAUCGACCCCUUCUGUGCCGCAGUUAACACAAUAAGUACUCCGCCUGGGAAGUACGAUCGCAAGAUUAAAAACUUAAAAUG